UACGAAGGUCCCGAGCGUUGUUCGGAAUCACUGGGCGUAAAGGGAGCGUAGGCGGCGCGGUAAGUCAGAUGUGAAAUCUCUGAGCUUAACUCAGAACGGCCAAGUGAUACUGCAGUGCUAGAGUGUGGAAGGGGCAAUCGGAAUUCUUGGUGUAGCGGUGAAAUGCGUAGAUAUCAAGAGGAACACCUGAGGUGAAGACGGGUUGCUGGGCCAACACUGACGCUGAUGCGCGAAAGCCAGGGGAGCAAACGGG
rnacentral:rRNA from 1 species